AGAAUGAAAUCCUUGGGUGUUUCCCUCGUGGUCCUGUGGCUUCAGUUAGACUGUGUGAGCAGCCAGCAGAAGGUGCAGCAGAACCCAGAAUCCCUCAGUGUCCCAGAGGGAGUCAUGGCCUCUCUCAACUGCACUUUCAGUGAUAGUGCUUCUCUGAACUUCUGGUGGUACAGACAUCGUCCUGGGAAAGGCCCUGAGGUGCUCAUGUCCAUCUUCUCCAAUGGUGAAAAGGAAGACAGCAGAUUCACAGUUCACCUCAAUAAAGCCAGCCUGCAUGUUUCCUUGCACAUCAGAGACUCCCAGCCCAGUGACUCAGCUGUCUACCUGUGUGCAGUGAACACACAGUGCUCCCCAGGCCCUUGCAGCCUGCACACAAACCCACUGGGCUGCAUCAAGGCCUGA